ensembl:lncRNA
UUACGUCCAUAUAUAUUGUAUUAUGUGAAUUUUUACUUUGACUGUUGUAAGCAGUUGGGACUUAUAUGAGAGAAACAUUUUGCUCGUGCAUAAAUAAAUAUAUAUAUAUAGUUUUUUAAUUUAUAGCUUUAGGUGCUUUUAUAAUUUUUUUUUUUUUUUUUCUUUUUUCUUUUUUUUUUUUUCUUUUUUUUUUUUUUUCCUUUCUUUUCUCCUUUUUUUUUAACAUGCUAAUAUUAUUAUAUUAUACGUACUAUAAAAAUAAGUUAAAAAUAAAUUAAUUUAAAUUUGUGUUAAACAUAAUUUUUUUUUUUUUUUUCUUCAUUCUACAUAUACCUAAACAACGUUUUAAUCAUGUAUAUAUAAAAUAUAUAUAUAUAUAUUUCAGCAAUGUCAAUUUUUAAUAAAGAUUUUUUUUUUUUUUUUAGUUGUUAAGCAUUAUUAAUCAAACACGCCUCAAUAUAAUAUACCCCAACAUAUCCCCAUUAUGUUAAUAAUAUAACAAAUAAACAAAUAUAGAUAAAUAUAUAUAACACGUUAGAGCAGUAUAAUAUAAAUAACAUUGAUCGUACCAAAUAAAACUAAUACAAACAUCGCUAUAAAAAAAAAAAUAAUAAAUAAAUAAAUAAAUAAAAAUGGGAAGUAAUAUAAAUGAGAAAAGUGAAAAAAUAAAAAUACGUUUUAUAUUUUUUCUUUUGGGACUAGUAUUAAGCCUACCAUCACAUACCUUUGUGACAAUUUCAUCCUUAAUAAAUGGUAUAUAUGAUAAAAACACAGCCCCUAUAUUAAUAGGGAUCUAUAGUGCCUCUAUACUUGUCGCUUCGUUUUUUCAGCUGACGUUCGAGCUAACAUCCUUUAAUGCUAUAAUAUGGUGUUCAAUUUUCAAAACAGUAGCUUACUUUUUUGCAUUAACAUGUAUAUGCCUUCUUAAAUUAUCCAAGUACUAUUUAUAUUUUUCAGGAGUUAUACUUGGAUUGUUAGUAGGCUAUUUUUACUCAGCAUGUACAAAAUAUUCCUUACUUUUAAAUAUGAAUGUAAAUAGUUAUUUAAUUACAGGCACAGCUAUGUGUGGUUUUACGUUUUUUUUUGUUAAUUUAUUUACUUCAUUUUUUACGAUUAUAGAUGGAGUGAAAGAGACAUAUUUUAGUACUAUUACAUUUUCAUUUGGUUUUUUUAUUAUCGCAGAUAUAUUUAUUCUUAUUUAUGUCGUUUAUGUAGAAAUUACAUCAGUUUAUUUUAAAAAUCUGAGGGUACAAAUAGAAGGCUACAAAUAUAAUAAUAAAAAAAAAAACAGUGAUGAUAAUAUUAAUUUAUCUAUUGUAGAACAUGGGGAUGGGGUUAUAAAAAAUUGUACUGAGAAUAGUACAAUGGCUAAUAUAGUUAUAAGUGAUACAUUAGAAAGUGCAAUUAAAACUGAUAAAAGUGAUAUACAAAAUAAAGAAAAUAGAAAUGAUAGUAUAUAUUGGAAUAACUAUAAAAUAGAGAAAAAAUCUAUUUUCCAUAUUUUAAAAAACAAAAUUAUUCAAAUAAAAAAUAGAUUUAAUUUUAAUAAUAUAAUUUUAGGCGCGAAAUUAAUUAAAUACUAUUACGCUUGUUUGGUUCCUAUAUGUCUUACAAUGUUUGCAUCUUAUUUGAUUUUCCCACAUUUACUACCUGAUAUGUUGGACAACACAGAAUACGAAAAAUAUUUCUGUAAAUUUUUGUUCCAACUUAGUAAUGUUACUUUUAGUUUUAUCAUGGCCUUUAUAAUGGGAAAAUUAAAUUUUAUAAAACAGAAAUAUGUUAUGAUUGUUUCUGUAAUAAGAUUAUUAUUUAUAUGGAUAUGUUAUAUAGUAGUAAAAAACAAGCCAACUAAUUUUAUUUAUUCAAAUAUAAUUACAUCAAUUAUUAUAAUAUUAAUAGGGGCUUCAAAUUCAAUUAUACGUAACAUGAGUUUUGCACGUAUCGGAACAUGUUUCGAAGACAAUGUUAAAAAAGAUCAUUAUGUUUCUGUAUCUUCUUCCUUUUGUUCUUUAUCAUACCUAGUCAGUUAUGCUUUAGCACCAUGGUUUGCUCGUAUAAUUAAAGCUAUAUAAAGGAACAUGUAUGUAAGAAACAUAAAAAGUUGUAUACAUAGAUACGAUAUAUAUGUGUUAUGUCUAUGUACUUAUUUAUAUAUUUACUUGUUCUUUAUGAAUUUUAAUUAAACAAUUGCAUGUACAUAAUGAACGUAUCUUCCCCUAUAUAUAUAUAUAUAUAUAUUUAUUUAUUAAGCUUUUUUUUUUUUUUUUUUUUUUUUUAAUAUCAAUGUUAUAUAUCAUAGACCAUUUAUCAAAUAUGCCCAUACACUUUUUUUUUUUUUUUAAUAAGUGUCAAAAUUGGCAUGUAUAUAUAUAUGUGCAUUUUACUUUGUUAAUUCUUGUGUAAUACUUUAUUACAUACUCUUUCCUAACACGAGUAUAACCGCUUAAAUAAGUGAACGUACACUUUUAUAUGCAUAUAUUCAUUAUAGACAUGACAAUUAUUUUUAAUUAUCUCCUUUUAGUAUUCAUUUUAUUUUUUUUAUUAAUGCAUUUAACACAUGCUACAUUUUCAUAUCAUAAAUAAAAAUAUGUACAUGUAAAUAUAUGAAAAUAAA